rnacentral:sRNA from 1 species
GCCCCCACAACAAUAAUAUCGAGAUUAACCAUCCCACAUUUUCCUCCUAGUUUUUUGUCAUGUGAACUGUCAAAACUCUUGACAUUAGUACCAAGCUUCCAUGUGCCACCUCAUUUCAACCAUCUACUUUGCUUUCUAUGUUUGAUUGCUUCAUCUCAUUGGGGUAUCAUUAGUACACAGAAGUUACAGGACAGCUAUUCCAUCUAUCUGAUAGAUGCCAGUGUAUGGUAUUUAUGCAUCUUGAGACCAAGAGGGGAACCGGAGAACAAUGAGAUGUAAAUACAGCUCGCGCUCCAGAAAUGGCUCUGGAUUUAUUUCAAAAACUGCCACAAGUCUCUGCUGUGGUGAAAAAGCAGCUGCAGCUGAAAGGGGUCCGUUCUUUAGACGCGAGCCAAUUUUAUUUAUGGGUAUAAGCAACGGGAAAUAUUUGUGUACAACAUGAAAUUGCAAACAGUUACUGUGGCAUCUAGUUUCUGAGCAGCAACUGUGAAUGAUGUCAAUACACUGCUAUUGAUUUCUAGACAGAUUGCUAUCUGAGAUGUAUAACCCUUCUUAGCUAUAUAGAUUUAGAUACUAGAACUCAUUGAUUUUGUCAUAUCUCUUGAAUAUUGUUAAGCU